rnacentral:rRNA from 1 species
CGUUUGACUUAUAAAAAUGGUGGAAACAUAGAUUAAGUUAUUAAGGGCGCACGGUGGAUGCCUUGGCACUAGAAGCCGAUGAAGGACGUUACUAACGACGAUAUGCUUUGGGGAGCUGUAAGUAAGCUUUGAUCCAGAGAUUUCCGAAUGGGGAAACCCAGCAUGAGUUAUGUCAUGUUAUCGAUAUGUGAAUACAUAGCAUAUCAGAAGGCACACCCGGAGAACUGAAACAUCUUAGUACCCGGAGGAAGAGAAAGAAAAUUCGAUUCCCUUAGUAGCGGCGAGCGAAAUGGGAAGAGCCCAAACCAACAAGCUUGCUUGUUGGGGUUGUAGGACACUCUAUACGGAGUUACAAAGGACGACAUUAGACGAAUCAUCUGGAAAGAUGAAUCAAAGAAGGUAAUAAUCCUGUAGUCGAAAAUGUUGUCUCUCUUGAGUGGAUCCUGAGUACGACGGAGCACGUGAAAUUCCGUCGGAAUCUGGGAGGACCAUCUCCUAAGGCUAAAUACUCUCUAGUGACCGAUAGUGAACCAGUACCGUGAGGGAAAGGUGAAAAGCACCCCGGAAGGGGAGUGAAAUAGAACCUGAAACCGUGUGCUUACAAGUAGUCAGAGCCCGUUAAUGGGUGAUGGCGUGCCUUUUGUAGAAUGAACCGGCGAGUUACGAUUUGAUGCAAGGUUAAGCAGUAAAUGUGGAGCCGUAGCGAAAGCGAGUCUGAAUAGGGCGUUUAGUAUUUGGUCGUAGACCCGAAACCAGGUGAUCUACCCUUGGUCAGGUUGAAGUUCAGGUAACACUGAAUGGAGGACCGAACCGACUUACGUUGAAAAGUGAGCGGAUGAACUGAGGGUAGCGGAGAAAUUCCAAUCGAACCUGGAGAUAGCUGGUUCUCUCCGAAAUAGCUUUAGGGCUAGCCUCAAGUGAUGAUUAUUGGAGGUAGAGCACUGUUUGGACGAGGGGCCCCUCUCGGGUUACCGAAUUCAGACAAACUCCGAAUGCCAAUUAAUUUAACUUGGGAGUCAGAACAUGGGUGAUAAGGUCCGUGUUCGAAAGGGAAACAGCCCAGACCACCAGCUAAGGUCCCAAAAUAUAUGUUAAGUGGAAAAGGAUGUGGCGUUGCCCAGACAACUAGGAUGUUGGCUUAGAAGCAGCCAUCAUUUAAAGAGUGCGUAAUAGCUCACUAGUCGAGUGACACUGCGCCGAAAAUGUACCGGGGCUAAACAUAUUACCGAAGCUGUGGAUUGUCCUUUGGACAAUGGUAGGAGAGCGUUCUAAGGGCGUUGAAGCAUGAUCGUAAGGACAUGUGGAGCGCUUAGAAGUGAGAAUGCCGGUGUGAGUAGCGAAAGACGGGUGAGAAUCCCGUCCACCGAUUGACUAAGGUUUCCAGAGGAAGGCUCGUCCGCUCUGGGUUAGUCGGGUCCUAAGCUGAGGCCGACAGGCGUAGGCGAUGGAUAACAGGUUGAUAUUCCUGUACCACCUAUAAUCGUUUUAAUCGAUGGGGGGACGCAGUAGGAUAGGCGAAGCGUGCGAUUGGAUUGCACGUCUAAGCAGUAAGGCUGAGUAUUAGGCAAAUCCGGUACUCGUUAAGGCUGAGCUGUGAUGGGGAGAAGACAUUGUGUCUUCGAGUCGUUGAUUUCACACUGCCGAGAAAAGCCUCUAGAUAGAAAAUAGGUGCCCGUACCGCAAACCGACACAGGUAGUCAAGAUGAGAAUUCUAAGGUGAGCGAGCGAACUCUCGUUAAGGAACUCGGCAAAAUGACCCCGUAACUUCGGGAGAAGGGGUGCUCUUUAGGGUUAACGCCCAGAAGAGCCGCAGUGAAUAGGCCCAAGCGACUGUUUAUCAAAAACACAGGUCUCUGCUAAACCGUAAGGUGAUGUAUAGGGGCUGACGCCUGCCCGGUGCUGGAAGGUUAAGAGGAGUGGUUAGCUUCUGCGAAGCUACGAAUCGAAGCCCCAGUAAACGGCGGCCGUAACUAUAACGGUCCUAAGGUAGCGAAAUUCCUUGUCGGGUAAGUUCCGACCCGCACGAAAGGCGUAACGAUUUGGGCACUGUCUCAACGAGAGACUCGGUGAAAUCAUAGUACCUGUGAAGAUGCAGGUUACCCGCGACAGGACGGAAAGACCCCGUGGAGCUUUACUGUAGCCUGAUAUUGAAAUUCGGCACAGCUUGUACAGGAUAGGUAGGAGCCUUUGAAACGUGAGCGCUAGCUUACGUGGAGGCGCUGGUGGGAUACUACCCUAGCUGUGUUGGCUUUCUAACCCGCACCACUUAUCGUGGUGGGAGACAGUGUCAGGCGGGCAGUUUGACUGGGGCGGUCGCCUCCUAAAAGGUAACGGAGGCGCUCAAAGGUUCCCUCAGAAUGGUUGGAAAUCAUUCAUAGAGUGUAAAGGCAUAAGGGAGCUUGACUGCGAGACCUACAAGUCGAGCAGGGUCGAAAGACGGACUUAGUGAUCCGGUAGUUCCGCAUGGAAGGGCCAUCGCUCAACGGAUAAAAGCUACCCCGGGGAUAACAGGCUUAUCUCCCCCAAGAGUUCACAUCGACGGGGAGGUUUGGCACCUCGAUGUCGGCUCAUCGCAUCCUGGGGCUGUAGUCGGUCCCAAGGGUUGGGCUGUUCGCCCAUUAAAGCGGUACGCGAGCUGGGUUCAGAACGUCGUGAGACAGUUCGGUCCCUAUCCGUCGUGGGCGUAGGAAAUUUGAGAGGAGCUGUCCUUAGUACGAGAGGACCGGGAUGGACAUACCUCUGGUGUACCAGUUGUCGUGCCAACGGCAUAGCUGGGUAGCUAUGUGUGGACGGGAUAAGUGCUGAAAGCAUCUAAGCAUGAAGCCCCCCUCAAGAUGAGAUUUCCCAACUUCGGUUAUAAGAUCCCUCAAAGAUGAUGAGGUUAAUAGGUUCGAGGUGGAAGCAUGGUGACAUGUGGAGCUGACGAAUACUAAUCGAUCGAAGACUUAAUCAA